rnacentral:lncRNA from 1 species
UCGAGCUUUUCCCGACUCCUCCCUUCUCCAAACAACUUCUUCUAAUCAAAAGAAGGCGAAUACCACGGAAUUAAUUGUGGCAAUGGCGGAGAACUCCUACUCUCUCUUUUCUCAAUGUUCCCUCUAAACCCCUUGCGACGAGGUCGACUCUCGAAACCCUAUCUCUCCAAAUCCCUCAUCUUCUUUUUUCCUUAAAAUUGUACAGUUCCUCUCACGCGUCUCACAAUACUCUCACUAUGCUAUUGGUUUUUUAUUAUUAUCACAUUGGAAUGACUCAAUGUUGAAGUUAACAGUAGAUUUUCUUUUCUUUUCUUUUCUUUUCUUUUCUUUUUUUCGGUUUUUUGUGAGAGAAAACGAUGGACAUUAAAUAAGCUACAAGAUGAGAAUGCACGCACUACUGGGAAUCGAGCGGGAUCAACUCGUGCAUAAGAGUUUCUAUACACGGAUUUGUAGGGAACCCACACCAAUGUAGUAGGGCCCUAGUAAUCAUUUAUGAUGAGACAUUGAGCUCUUCACAAAUGAUGUUGAGAUCAAAAGGGGCUUUGAGGUUUGAGAAGAUGAGGAAGUUUUGUCCCCAUCACAUGCUCUCUAAUGAUCCUGUUGACACCCAUUUGUUUCUUGUGGUCAAUUAUGACCCCAACAAUCAACCACUAGCUAGUACGUUUCUGCAAAUUAAUAAUUGCUUUUGAGUCCUAACUAAAGCAUGUUGAUCGUCCUAGAUGUCCUUCUCUUGUUGAGUGCAUAUAUUUAAAUUAAAAUUCCGGAUUCCUAAAGCUAAUUCCUAUUAGUUUCUUACAUUUUUAGUACUCUCUAAAGAUGGCCCUUUAUGUUUACAUGAUUUUCUUUUCGUAGUUUUUAAUACAUUUGCUUAGUGCCCUUUGUUGCUACAUUUCUUGCAGAGUUUUACCCCCAUAAAAGUCCUAAGAAGAAACUUACGUCUUGAAUUUGCUUAUCAUACGUUAGUAUUUCAAGAAGAUCUACUGAAAGGGCAAAUUGCGGUUGAUCUCGUCGCACAGAAAAUGCCACUAUUUCGAAUUGUGUAAAUAGUUAUCAUUGUUGCUUGUUUAUCUUCACGUUGGCGACUGUUUUCAUGCAUUUAUUUUCUGUUGCUUUCUACUUGAUGAUAGUUUGCGCUUAUCCGUUUGCAGACGAAAUCUCUAAUUUAAAGAUGUGGGUACCCUCUAAAGCUGUAUGUUUAGUGCCAAUGCUCAACUCCUCUUAUAAUAAACUACCAGUCUAGGUACGCCUCCUUGUGGCCCUGCUCCAUCAUGCAUGUCAUGUGGAAUCCCCACUAGAUUUUACAAUCAUUAGCUCAACAGGAUAUCGAAGAUUAUAAGAUCCGUCCUAGUGCAUCAACUUUGCCGCAUCGUAUUACAUAUUUCUUGUGGAAAUUUUCGUAUUUAGCAUUUAUAGUUUCGUAAUUUCGUGUACUGGUCCCUGAACUUUUCGCUUAAAAUUAAAAGACGUUGAUCUCCAAACUAAUAUUUUGUCAAUCACAUCUGUGCGCUGCUACUUGUGCAAAAUUCUGCAAUCUGUUAUCUUAUUCGCUUAUCACUUGUGACAUUUUUCGUGGACCAAUUACUUGGAGCAUGCUAAAAUCUUCAGUUUAGAGGAAAAGGGUCAUGCACAAAUGCAUCUUCUUAUAAGUUAGAGACUUUGGAUGGCAAACUGCGCCAGAAAAUGUAGAACAGUUCAGGGACUAAAUUGUUUAACUAAAUUUGUUUUUUUUUUUUUACUAAUAAAAGCUGUAACACAAUUUAGCGGAACGUUUCCUAGACUCUAUGUACAGAGCAACCUUAUAUAUUUCAUGGCAGGGACCAUCUCCACUGCAAAUUCAUUUCACAUGAGGCUUUUUCUUCUUUGGUCCAUGAUGAGAGCUAAUGGAACUAU